CGACGGGUAACGGGGAAUCAGGGUUUCGAUUCCGGAGAGGGAGCCCGAGAAACGGCUACCACUUCCAAGGAAGGCAGCAGGCGCGCAACUUACCCUAAUCUCGAUUCGAGGAGGUAGUGACAAGAAAUACCGAUGCGGGACCCUACGGGUGCCGCGUUCGGAAUGAGUACGAUUCGAACCACCUAACGAGGAACGAUCGGAGGGCAAGUCUGGUGCCAGCAGCCGCGGUAAUUCCAGCUCCAAUAGCGUACGUUAAAGUUGCUGCAGUUAAAAAGCUCGUAGUUGAACGUUCGGGUUCCGCGGGACGGGGCCGCCCCGCGAGGGACGGCGCCGCCCCGGGGCUCGUGAUAUCUUAUCUCGCCGCCCGUCGCGAGGCGGACGGAGGGAUGGAUGAGGUUACCUGGAAAAAAUCGGGGCGAUCUAGGCGGGCGAACCUCGCCAACGAACGAUCGGACAUGG
rnacentral:rRNA from 1 species